GUGUUGCGCUCCAGUGGCUUAGUGGUUAGAGCGUCCAACUCGGAUGCGGUAAGUCGCGGGUUCGAACCCCGGCCUAGUAAUACA